ACGUAGGCAGCGAGCGUUGUUCGGAGUUACUGGGCGUAAAGCGUGCGUAGGCGGUUUUGUAAGUUUGGUGUGAAAUCUCCCGGCUCAACUGGGAGGGUGCGCCGAAAACUGGAGAGCUAGAGUACUGGAUGGGAGAGUGGAAUUCCUGGUGUAGCGGUGAAAUGCGUAGAUAUCAGGAGGAACACCGGUGGUGUAGACGGCUCUCUGGACAGUAACUGACGCUGAGACGCGAAAGCGUGGGUAGCAAACAGGA
rnacentral:rRNA from 1 species